UACAGAGGUGGCGAGCAUUGUUCGGAUUCAUUGGGUGUAAAGGGUCCGUAGGCGGUUCGGCAAGUCGGGUGUGAAAUCUCAUGGCUCAACCAUGAAACUGCGCUCGAAACUACCGGACUGGAGUUUGGAAGAGGAAGAUGGGAUUCCCGGUGUAAGGGUGAAAUCUGCAGAUAUCGGGAGGAACACCAGUUGCGAAGGCGAUCUUCUGGUCCAAAACUGACGCUGAGGGACGAAAGCUAGGGGAGCAAACGGG
rnacentral:rRNA from 1 species